AAGAAAGUAAAUAAGGGCGCAUGGCGGAUGCCUUGGCUCUCGGAGGCGAUGAAGGACGUGAUAAGCUGCGAUAAGCUUCGGGUAGGUGCAAAUGACCUUUGAUCCGAAGAUUUCCGAAUGGGACAACCCGGCAUUCUGAAGGAAUGUCAUCCAACCUGGUUGGAGGCUAACGCAGGGAACUGAAACAUCUUAGUACCUGCAGGAAAAGAAAAUAAAUAAUGAUUCCCCUAGUAGUGGCGAGCGAACG
rnacentral:rRNA from 1 species